AGUGAACGCUGGCGGUAGGCCUAACACAUGCCAGUCGAACGGCAGCACAGUAAGAGCUUGCUCUUACGGGUGGCGAGUGGCGGACGGGUGAGGAAUACAUCGGAAUCUACUUUUUCGUGGGGGAUAACGUAGGGAAACUUACGCUAAUACCGCAUACGACCUACGGGUGAAAGCAGGGGAUCUUCGGACCUUGCGCGAUUGAAUGAGCCGAUGUCGGAUUAGCUAGUUGGCGGGGUAAAGGCCCACCAAGGCGACGAUCCGUAGCUGGUCUGAGAGGAUGAUCAGCCACACUGGAACUGAGGCACGGUCCAGACUCCUACGGGAGGCAGCAGUGGGGAAUAUUGGACAAUGGGCGCAAGCCUGAUCCAGCCAUACCGCGUGGGUGAAGAAGGCCCUCGGGUUGUAAAGCCCUUUUGUUGGGAAAGAAAAGCAGCAGGUUAAUACCCCGCUGUUCUGACGGUACCCAAAGAAUAAGCACCGGCUAACUUCGUG
rnacentral:rRNA from 1 species